rnacentral:rRNA from 1 species
UACGAGUGCCUCAAGCGUUAUCCGGAAUCAUUGGGCGUAAAGGGUGUGUAGGCGGUUUUGUUAGUCUCUCGUUAAAUCUCUUGGCUCAACCGAGAGUCUGCGGGGGAAACGGCAAAACUAAGAGGACGGGAGAGGUCUCUGGAACUCAUGGUGUAGCGGUGAAAUGCGUUGAUAUCAUGGGGAACACCAAAAGCGAAGGCAAGAGACUGGUCCGUUUCCUGACGCUGAAACACGAAAGCGUGGGUCGCGAAUGGG